CAUUAUCGAAUAAACUUGAACAGGCUGUUUGCUGGCUCUCAAGAGAGUAUGUGCACGCUUGUCAUCUUUAUCUCUCCAACUGUGCACAUAUUGUAGACCUUUGGAUUAGUUUCCGAGUUGGGACUGCUGUGAAGUCAGCUUUUCCCUUGCAGGUCUAUGUCCUUUUUUCACAAACAUCUGAAUCGUUUAGAAUGUUAUUAUUAUAAAGUUAAAUAUACAACUUUCAGCAACGGAUCUCUUGGCUCUCGCAUCGAUGAAGAACGCAGCGAAAUGCGAUAAGUAAUGUGAAUUGCAGAAUUCAGUGAAUCAUCGAAUCUUUGAACGCAUCUUGCGCUCCUUGGUAUUCCGAGGAGCAUGCCUGUUUGAGUGUCAUUCAAAUUCUCAAAACCAUGUCGAUUGUCUUUGAUGUGGCUUUGGAUUGUGGGGGUUUUCUUUGCAGGCCUUUUUGGGUCAGCUCCCCUGAAAUGCAUUAGUAGUAUCUGAGCAGAGAAACUACCACAAGGUGUGAUAAAUUUAUNUAUGCCUUUGGUGAGCUGCAUGAACAGAUUGCNCNGCUUAUAAUGNAGUGGAGUUCGAUGCAUUUGACCUCAAAUCAGGUAGGACUACCC
rnacentral:rRNA from 1 species